GUGGAAAAUAGCUCGCUAAACUUGGCCAGGGCUGUCUCUUGAGAGCGGAGAGUUGCAGACUUUGCCCACAAGCUGUUCCUUUGCCAUAAGGAUAAUGUUAGUCAUACAAGGGGACAUCUGCAGAGCCACAGUGACAGGUUAUCUAAAUGGGCUGGUCAUUAAGUGUUGUUUGAAUGCUGCAGAACGAUGGGCAUUGGCUAAUGAUGGUAGAGGGAGCCCGAGGCAAGACUCGUCAGUCCUGAAGAAAGACUGGGUGAUGGUAAGAAUAACAAUUGGACAUACUCUCCAGGCCAUUAUGAUAUCAUCAGUGUAUUGGCCUACCUCCUAAAGCUCUCAUUACAACACAAACAUCUUCUUUUGUCUCCUACCCAUCUAUCAUUUUCAUUUCGGUGUAUUUUCCUGUCAUACCAGAGUAUGUUUUGUCCAGAGUGUUGCACUUUGUUUGAUUUGCUUUGUCCUUGUCUCUCUCUUCACUUGAAGCUGCUGACACCCAAGGUCAGUCUAACCAGUGAACGACUGAGCUGCUAUUCCACCAUCCCAUCAGUUUUGACUGCGGUUGAUGUUUUGUUGCUCUGCACUCCAGGAGGAGUGAACUUCUGCCAAGAUUGAAAUGAAGUACCACAGUCAGACGGCGCAAGUCUCAAAAGGUGAAUGAAAAAAAAAGGAGAAUAAAAGAAUUUGAUCGAAAAAUAUAGCAGGAGAGGAAGGAGCAAAAGGGCAUGUAAAAUAAUACAUUAAGGGAACUGGGAGGGUCGGGGGAGAUGAUCAACAAGAAUGCGUAAAGGGGCCAAAGGCAGGAGAGGUUAGAGAAGCAAAUAUGAACAGGAAAAAGAACAAGUGGAUGGAAGAGAGAAUGGGAAAAACAAAGUUUAUAUUUACAGAGAGAAGUGAGAAGAGGAAGUAAAUGACAAUGGAAGGGAUGUUGAGAUGAUAGUGAGAGAAGAAGGUGACAAUGAAAUGAAAGGGAUAAAACGGGGAUAAAGAAAGACGAGGAAAUAGGUCCACAGUUGGCAGAGUGCCACUCAAAAUCUGACUGACCACCCUGUUGAUAUCCCAAUUACCUCAAACAUGAUUGGCUAUUUGCCAAUCAUACUUAGACUUUUGUAAUAAUCAACUGCUUGGGGUGUGUUGCAACAAUUGCUGUUAAAUUUUUCAUUUAGAAAAUCAUACAAAGAAAGAAAAACUGUGUACUACAUCAGAGUUAAUCACUUAUUUGUGCCACAUAGGGGACAACCCAGUUGCAGUUGAUUGCAGUUAGAGGAAAACAAAUGAAAACAUGAUUAUUAAGGGCCUGUGUCCACUGAACGCAUUUUUGGUUUUGUUUAAUUUUGCAAUAGUUUUUUUUUUUUUGUGUGUGUGUAGGCAACCUAUAACCUUAGUUUCAGAGCACUCUUGGGUACUAUUGCCUUAGUUAAAAAUAUAUAUUUCAUACACUUUCUGUUCCAUAAUCCAUGACUCUAUUUUGAAUGAUCUGAAUAUUAAAGAACUACUUCUAUUGAAAUAACUGUUUCACAAAAAAAAUUGUGCCAUGACUUUAAUAACAUCCCUGACCUAGAAAAGAUACACCAGAAAAUAUGAGUCUGAUUAAGUUUUCCUUGUUGCUGACAAAGCUAAAUUUCCACAGUCCCGCCCCCUCCUUGAUUCUGAUUGGUCAUUGAGCGACCAAUGACACUGACGAGUAGGAUGGUGUUCCAAAAGUUUAACGAAGAGUCCAGAAACAAAAAAACAGCAAUCAUGUAAGUGUGUGUUGUGUGCUGAAAAUCCUGCAGAGGAAAUAAGCACCAUCAGCACAAAGACACUCCUGGUGGAAACAGGCCCUAAAAAUUAUGACUCUAGACAGUAUUACUGCUAAAAAUUUCCAACCUAAAAUAAUUUUAUUAUUGUUUUUGAAGGUUAGUUUGGUUAACUCACCUUCUUUGUAGGCCACUCUCAGCUUUUCCAUUUCAGUUCUCCAUUUCCUGUCUUUUUAGAGGUUAAUAUCAUUUAUUUUUUAUUGUUAUUUAUAUUUUAUUUUAUUCAUUUUUAUUUAAUUAUUCUUAUUUAUUUUUAUUGUAUUUUUUUAUUAAUUUUUUCAUUUAUUUAUUUUUAUCAUUUUUAAUAUCAUUUCAAUUUUGUACCCACAGCCAUCAGACUUUUUAACUCUUGUGUAAAUAGUAUCCUGUAUCAAGAGUGGUCUCAAGCUUGUUGCGGGCUCUGGUUAUAUUUAUUCCAGACAACUGAGGGGUCCUUUGUUUGGCUGAUUAUCUGGAUGUAUUAAAAUGCAAGUGGGGGCUUUUUGUGGUUAUAAAUUAGUUAUGGAAACACCACCUUUAAGUCAAACAGUGAAUAACUCCGGUGACACAGUCCUAGUGCAUUAUGAUUGUUAGACCCCAACCACUGUAAAGACUUAAUUAAGUUUGCACUUAAUUAAUAAUGACACUUGAACUGGCAUUAUUAUAACUGCUGCAUGCAUUUUCUUUUCAACCCGCAUUAAGUAAAUAUGUAGGUAACCUCAUUUAAUCUAUUCAUUUCCCUCCAUCUGUGCUGCAUUAAGGUGGUGUUUGUGCAUUCAGUGACCAUAUCUGCUGCAUACAAUCCCCUCUUUGUACUAAUACAACUGGAUUUAUGUGGAACAAAUUCAACCCGUUUGCGGUUUUUGAGUUCUUUUUUACUCCGAACAAUAGCCCUGGCUUCAGUUUUGCUGCAGUAAGCUAGUUGGCUCCAUAUUCAGUAAACACUGGAUAAUUCUUGAAGGUCAAAGCAUAAGCACACUUGGCUCCAAAAGUGGACAAUAUGUCUGCAUGGUUCAGCGCGGGACUAUUUGGAGCAUUUUGUGAUUUGGAAAUUAUGUCUUUUUUUUUUCCCAGGGUGUUAUCAGAAUAUGUGUGUGUGUGCUUCAGCUGCCUUGUAUUAAUGUAAGCUCCAGUGGGCAUGUUCAGCACUGACCUGAUGCAGCUACAAACUGCACCUGUCACCGCCGGAGGGACUGUUGAAUACCAGGAAAAAACACAUAUUUGCCAGUAGGAAGGUAUAAAGCAAGGGUAAUAGAUUUACAGCCUCACCUUUACUAGUAACACGCUGUGAUUUUUAAUCUACCCUGGGUGAUUUCUAUGUGUUCAUACAUGCUAUGUGUGCAUGGGAUUGUGUGUGUCCAGCCUUAAGCUGUGUUCCUCUCUUCUUCUUCUUCUCUCUCAUAAAUCACGAGGUAAACCCACAUCCACCAUGGUCACAUUGGUCAGUAAAGGAAUCACCUGGUUGUGGUUAUCUUUGUCCCGAGCCCUGUUCAACCUGAGUCCCUCUUUUCUCUCCUUCAUAUAUCCAUCCUUUUCUUGUAAUAUUCUUUUCGCUUCUGAAUUUCUUUUUCCAUUCUUUCGGCGUGUUUCCAUUUCCCCCCUUUUUUUUUUCUCCUCUCCAGAACGCCUUGCGGAUGUUCUUUGUCAAAACCAAUAGUUUCCAUGCAUAUCACUAACAAGCUCUGCACUUCAAAAGGCUAUGAAUCUCACUUCUGCUCAGCCACACAUUGCUAUUCAAUCAUAUCUUGUUACCGUGACAUGCCCUAUUGAAAUAUCUAUUCUGGGAGAGAAAAAAAUGGGCACUCAAAGGGCACAAGUUGCAGUGGAUUCAAUCAGAAAACCAUAACUUUUUUGGGGGGACUUUCUAUCACAUUUUCUUACUCCACAUAAUUGCACCAUGGAUUUUCAGACAGAGUUUUGCCCUGUUUUCCUCCAGGGAUUGUCCUGCAAAACUGACUACAGAGAGUAUGACACAGUGCUGGCUGUAACCUUAAUAAAUGUAUUGGCUUGUACAGGUACAAAAUAUGAUUUCCUCUUGAGGCUGGGGCUUUUCUCUGUCUCAAGAGCAUAAAUCAAUAAAGAACUUACAGGAUAACACGGUGUGUGACUGAGGAAGCACAGUAUGAAACAUUAAUUGGAUAUAUAGUUGAGAUACAUCAUACUUUGCAAUGCAAUUACGUGAAAUUUAUCCCAAGAAAAAACCUGACUUGAGGAGGACACGCUUCUCCGCUUCCAUUUGUGUUGUCACAUCUUCACAUAACACCACACAAAUUCAAACCCUCUCCUCGCAAACGGAUCUGUUUAAAGCCUUCUAUCUUUGGAUGCAUGCUGAUGCUCUCAAUCUGAGGCUUUAUGUAUGGUAGGCAGCACACAUUACACUGCGUUGAACCAUAAAUCAAGCCUUGAUAGACUGUGUACACUGGAUCGACACAUAUCUCGCAUUGCCUCCCCAAGGAUGCAGGGGAUGCUAAAGCAUCCAUCAACAGUAAGCAGGUUAAAUGCAAAUUCUAGGGAAGGCAAAUGGAUCCUAAUCAGACCAGAAGCAAAUCAAAACAUAUGGUGCUCUAUUCCAGCCGGCUGAGUGGCAGUUGUUACGAAGUGAUGUCAGUGGUGAAGACAAUUUUUUAAAAUCUUGUUAAAAAAGGAGAUGGUACAAGACUGAAAAUUGAAAAACAGAGUUCCAUCUGACAUGUUGGGUCAUACCUGAACACAGACUUAAUGUGAGUCUGGUAACAAGUAACCAACUUACCCUAACAAGAUCAAGACAUAAAAAUGAACCCCCUUUUUUGUCUUAAUUGUGAUUAGACAAGAUGUGAUAUAAUACCAUACAAUGCAAUACAAGACGAUACAAUGUAAUAUGAUAACAUGCAAAAUAAUACUAGGAACCUAAAUAUGUUACCCUACCAUACAAUAAGAUAUCACAUAUGUAACCUAAAGAUACCAGACACAAUACACUAUGAUACAAUUCAGUGUGAUAUGAUAACAUGAAACUAAUUAGAGGCACUCAAAUAUGGUACCAUACCAUGCAAUAAGAUAUCACGUACUGAAAUCCAAAGAUACCAGCCAUGAUACGCUAUGAUAUGAUACAACAUGACCACAUAUUACCAUACCACAUAUUAAGCUAUCACAUAUGCAUUAAUAAGAUAGGAUACGAUACGGUAUGAGCAAAUGUGCAAACCAAUACCAGACACGCACUAAUGUUACCAUACUAUCCAAUAAAAUAUCACGCAACAAUAACAAAACAUUAGACUACGACACUAUGCAGACGAUAGGACGAUAGGUAUGAAAGAAACUUAUUAUAUAUUACCAUACAACGCAGUAUGAUACCAUGCAAAAUAUUACUAGGCACUCAAAUAUGUUACCCUACCAUGCAUCAAGAUAUCACAUAUGCAACCCAAAAAUACCAGACAUGAUACACUAUGAUAUGAUAUAAUACAACACAACAUAACGUGAUAGGUUACAAUACAGUAUGAAACCUGAAACCAAUAAAAGGGAAUAAGAUAUCACGUAUGCAACGAUACGAUGCGAUGCAAUACGAUACGAUACAAUACGAUAUAAGCAAAUGUGCAAACCAAUACAAGGUACUUGUUACCAUACCAGCCAAAAAUAUAUCCUUCAACAAUAACAAAAAAUUACGUUAUGACACUAUGCAGAUAAUAGGAUAAGGAACUCAAAUAUGUCACCCUUCAAUGCAUUAAGCUAUCACAUAUGUAACCCAAAGAUGCCAGUCAUGAUAUGCCAUGAUACGACACAAUGUGAUAUGAUAGCAUCCAAAACAAUACUUGGCAUUCAAUUAUGUUACCUUACCAUGCAAUAAGAUAUCACAUAUGCCAGGAUAAGAUAUCACAUAUUAUACAACACGAAGAGAUAUGACACAAUUUACUUCAAUACAAUUCUACACAAUCAAAUAUGUGAUGGUACGACACCAUUUGGUAAAGAUGUCAUACAUUACAUUUUUAUAUGUUAUGUUAUGUUAUUAGAGAAUAUGUUACUUUACCUCAUGUUAUUUUAGGCAAGGUUACAAGUGACAUAUGACAAUAACACCAUAUGAUAUGAUACAGUUUUAUUUACCUCUGAGGAAAUUAGUCCCUGGCUCAGGUGCACAUGCUUAAUUACUAACAGUUAACUACAUGCAUAAAGAGACGCACAUACCAUCAACUACACACAUUACAUUUUCAGAUUAGAAAAUCUGGUUCAUUGCCCCUGAAACUUGCCUGUUUAUUACCUACAGAAGCAACAGCAACAAGACAGACAAUUGCUCUAAUGAUAAGCUAAAUGCCUGUAACUACUGCAAGUGGGGUGAUACAUAAGCUACAUAAGCUAUCAGCCUGAGGUUGGGCUGUGCUGUGUCAAAAUGAAUAGAUUUGUUCCAUUAAAACAAUGUCAUACGGGAGAGCUGAGGGGCCGGACAAUGACAUUGUCACAGGCCAAUUUCCAGUUAAUUACAGAGCAGGAGGAUCACUCUCCUGUGACCAGUGGGUAUGGAUGCACAUUUCUCUAAAUAGCUUAUCUACAAGCUAAGUGUCUCAGUCACUUUUGACAAUGGGAAUAUAAUAAUGAGCCAUAGCUGUAGCUGUAGCAGUGAGUGCAGUUAAAUCAGUUUAGUGCAGUUUAUCUAUCUUGUGAAUUCCAGGAUUUAAAAAGGUGGUUUUGUGGGAAGGUUUUGUACAUCCUAGCAGAGUAUUAAAGAAUAGGUGUUUGAAGUUUUAAGAUCAAUAAAUUUAGUUUUAGAGAGAAUUUGAACACGGUACACUCCAAGCUGCAGUUUGGGUUAUUUCUGUGUCUCAGUUUGUUUGUAUUUUUUGACAUUUGGUUAAUACUGGUCUCAAAAACAGUCUUUCUCCCUGUACAUGCAAACAUGUAACCAGCAUAGUAAUUCUAACAGCUGAAUAACCAGGAAUUCCUGAGGACUUAUUUGUUUUCAAAGACCUCACACUGAACUCCCACAUGUGUAUUUUUACUUUUCAGACUGAUUACAUGGUUUUAAAUUUGCAAACAGAUCAAAACACCUGUUUUAUAUUUUCUUAUGUUGCUAACUUCAAUCAGACCUCUGGGGCAAUUACUCUGUUUAAACUCUAGUAAGAGUGCCAUAGAGGGGAAACAUGCAUUUCUGCCGCAACGUAGUGAUGUUCUUAUGUUGUUUUUAGGCAAAAUUUGCAUAUUACAUGGGGGUUAGCCUCAGGCUCUCUCUCUCUCUGUCUCUACCCCGGCCCUACCACCCCCCUUUUCCUCUCUCUCUAAUCUUUGAAGAAUUUCUAGAGUAAACUUGAAUAAUCCCUCUGUCAUAUUUUGGUGGGAUGAAAACAAGGCGUGCACCUACAAUCCCACCGUGACUUGAUUUAGUUGUUUAGCUGGUGGACAUAUUUAAAAAAUCUUCAAGGAACUCCAGCAAAAAAAAUCAUCUGUUAUGAUGUGCGUGUAUGUGUGUGUGUGUGUGUGUGUGUGUGUGUGUGCGCAAAACACCACCUCUCUCACACAUACACACACACUCAGGCGUGCUGCUAAUGCUGAUGUAAUUUGUUUGUGUUGACAUUUGUUCCGCCCUAAGGCAAUGCAUUUCCCUCUUCAUCCACCCUUUAUCGGUUUGCAUUGAGUCAUGUGGUAUUUUGUCCCUGCCCACCGUGUAAACAGCAACAACAACAUGCAGAUAGAUAGAUAGAUAGAUAGAUAGAUAGAUAGAUAGAUAGAUAGAUAGAUAGAUAGAUAGAUAGAUAGAUAGAUAGAUAGAUAGAUAGAUAGAUAGAUAGAUUUUUUUAAGCUCUUAAACCAACAAAAUCCUCAGACAAAAAAAAAAAUCAGAGAGUAAAGAGAUAGAAAUCUUAAGCUGAUGGGAGCCUAAGAGACUGAAAGAACAGGCAGGGAGAGAGAGAGAGAGAGAGAGAGAGAGAGAGAGAGAGAGAGAGAGAGAGCACCUCUAUAUUAUUCAACAGCUCAUCUCACUGCAGAAGAUCCAGCAGGGGGAGGUGUUGCAAUAUUUGGUCCAUUGCUGUCUGUCUGCUGCAAAAGCCCCAACUAAGUUCACUUUUAGACUAAUAUGUGUGUGUAAACAUGCACUUUUAACCCCAUCACACAAGCGACAGCCUUAAUAAAAGCAAGAGGAAACUGCAUUGACCUUAAUAGGUUGAUUUCACCGUACCUUAUGAGUCAGAUGAGUCUCUUCUUCUGCACACUCUUUCUCCCUUCUGACUUGGCUUGAGCGGAAAUGUACACGAGCAGGCACAACGUCCCCCCUCCUCACUUGGGGAAAGGUUCUGGCAUUUUUUAAGAAGGAAUAAAAGCCUGAAAGAGAAAGACAGAGUCGUAUUUGUCAGACAUAAUGUGAUGCUUCCAGGUAGAGGUCAUUCCAAGUCUAAUAGGUUUGUGUCCAAUUAGCAAGUUUUUAUUCGAUAUUUCCAUCAGCAAAGUCGGCAUCCUGACUUCUACAACAGUGUGAGUCUUGAGCUGUUACUUCAAAUGGACUCCAUUUGAGAGCACAACAUAUCACAACAGUAUCUGUUCUGGAUCCUAUUCAGCUGACUGACUGAGCUUAUGAGAGCUUGUUUUUUUUUUUUCCUUUUUUUUGCCACGACUGUCACUCUCGGCCAGAACAAACUGGAAUUAGAUUUGACAGGUUGUGAAAAAGAGCCUGUGGGUGGCUCCAGGGUAAAAAUGAGUUCUGGGCUCCCCAUUAAGCUCCAAAUUUCUCUGCAUUGUCUCCUCAUUGUCUGUACGGGUUCAAAUAAAGAUCAUUUUGCUACUCAACUAGGCAGGGAUUUAUUUAGGAAGCAUUUCUGUGUAUGCACAUCUUAAACUAAAAUUAAGUUCUUAUUUUCAGAUUAAAACUAAUUCCUCCGCCUAAUGAGGGGCGAAGAUUAUUCUACAGUUUAGAUGUACUCCUAGAAUGAAAUUUUCGAGAAAUGACAGGAUCUUUGUCCCAAAUGUUCCAAGCCACCUCAUUCACACAUGUCACAGGAAGGACGCGGCAUUAAACGUGCCCUACAGGAGCCACUGUAUAAUCCUAGACAGCACAAAUGAUUCCUUAGCAUGGAUGUCUGUCCUCAACCAAUUAGGUGUUGCCCUUCCGUGGUCAUAUGAUGUAAACUUGUUUGCGAUUAAUUUUCCUAACAUUUCCUUGCAUGUAUUCACAUCUUCCCACCUUGAUUAAUGUAGAAACUUUAAAUGGGAUCUUGUAGAAAAAUCUUGGGUAGAGUCAGGAUAAAACUGUCAUCUGUUUGUGUUCACACAUGCAACCCAUCUCAAAAAUUUCAAGGUGUUUUGGGAGUGUUUUGCAUGUAUAAUCAAAGUGUUUCUUGUUUUUUUCACCAAUAAGUUCCAGUUUAGUCAAGUCAACACAGAACUUUUGCUUUAUUUUGACCCUGAAGCUCUCUGACCCUCACAGGCUCUUAGGCUCUUGGCAAUUUCCUGCUUUGUUUGGUCGGCAAACAAGCUUCAAAUCAGGUUUUAGAUCCAAUGACCCUUACUUAUCCAGACCUCCAAAACUUUAGAGAGAACUUAGGGGCAACAAAAUUAGGCUUUCCUAUAAAACACAUCAAUAUAACAUACUGGUGUCAUAUAUGUAACCCUUCAGCACUCACAACCACUGAAUUUAUGGAAAUCAUUGUCAUUUUUCUUUGCAUAUGGGUUAAAGGGGAAAAAAAACUCCUGUGUCUUUCUACUCUGGCAUAAGAAUUUUUGGUAUACACAUUUUCUUUGAAACACACUUUGUUUUUUUGCUUUUGUUUACACAAUAACUUAUCAUGUAAUGAGAAAACACUCAUUUCAUUACAAAAAGCUCUUACUCAUAUUUCCCGAUAAGAGGAUCCAAGUUUCGUAUUUUUUAGUGUCAUGAAAUAAAAGACACACAAACAAACAGUUCUCAUUUUGUGUUACAUUAACUCUUCACACUUAGCCAACUCACAGCCAGGUCGUGACGUGCCUUGGGUGCCAGCUAUUACUCAUCCUGAGACCAGCCACUCGUAUGAUCUUGACUUUCUCAGUACAAAUAAAUCAUUGUUGUAUUCCACAGACCACUAACAAAUUCUUCUGUUUCCCUUUUUUCCACCGUGCCUUUCUGAGACCUUUUCUGUUUCCAAUUUAUCCUAAGGCCAAAUUCUCACCAAAGUUUUGCAUUUGAAGUUUUAACAAGUUCGUGUUUUGGUCGGAGAAAUUUUAAUGAAAAUCAGUGAUGAAAAGAGUGAAAAAUAUCUCUCAGAAAUAUGUUCGAGAUCCAGAUGUCUUGACUGGGUUGACUUUUUCUUGCUUGAACAAAGUGCAAAACCGAAUUUACUUUACCUUACUUAAUUUAAAUGUCUAAUUGCCAACUCACAAUGAAUCUCUUUUUUAGGGCUGUAAUCAACCAAAGAAGUUCUUGGUCGACUAAAACCCUGAAAUUUUCGACUAAAAAUUGACUGGUGGGAGGGUAUUCCCAACUCUGACGACAAACCCUUCUGCAGUGGGGAACGACGCAACUCGGCAGGGUGAAACUAUACUGAUAUCAGCACUAAGGCAAUUAAACACAAAUAUUAUUUUCAGCAAACUACUGGACAUUGAUUAACGUGGACGCUCUUCAAUCUUCCUGUCUCCAGUGGGUGGGGCGAAUCCAAAAUGUUGAACACAAGGGGUGUUCUGAGACAGGCUGUGAAACGGGUGUGGUCUGAAAACACCCCCAUCAACACUUGGUACGUUCUUCCUGAUGAAAUUAUCCAUAGACUGUAAAUUGACACGGGAAAAAAUGGAGUCCACCAAUCAGAAUUUUUGUUGACUCAGCGCGUAUCAACCGGUAAGUCGACCAGGACUUUACAGCCCUGCUGUUUUUGUGUGUUGCAUUCUGUUGAUCUACUUGUCCAACACCUACCCAAUGUCAGGGGUAAUCAGGCAUAUAGCUCUCAGCAAGCACAGGCAAGGCUGUGUCACAGGAGGCUGGUGGGCUGGACUAGGUAUCUUCCCUACUCUUCAGUUAACCAAUAUUAGUGGAAAGGAGGAGUAAGCAAGAGCAGCAGGUAGGAGAUAAGAACCUGCAAGACAGCAGGGAAUGAAGCAACAGUGUGAUUGGAUAAUAUGAGGGAAAGCUGGUAUAAGGAAAGUGACUGGUAGUCUAUGGCCGGUUCCCCAGCCACCAUCCUGCAGCCAGAUAAUAUAAUUGUCUCUGAGGCCCAUCAAAGAAACUGUGCUGCUGGAGCUAACAGCCUCAAGGACGAGGCUUUUAAAAGAAAGCUCUCCAAGUAUGCAGGACUGGGUACAGACUGUCAACAAGUCAUCUGCAAUACAGCCAAUGAGAAGGCCUUGAGAAAGAGGAAAGCUGUGGAGUCAUAAAAGCUUGCCAUAGAGAUACAAGCUUGAGUCUGUGGGUGUGUAAUGUUGAAAUACUCGACAUUCCCAGUGAUUCAAGGAGCAUCACUGAGCAUGGUCAUAUGCUGCGUUCCAGCAGUACUCGGAAGUUCGGGAUUUCCGAGCUCAGAGUUGGAAAUUCAUCUGGAAUGCCCCCCUUAAGUCGGAUUUAUGACUCAGAAAGUUGGAUGAUCCUCACCAACCCCGACUUGACGAUAACAUCAUAAUUCAAGAUGGCAGCGCAGGGCAUCAACAGUAAAGAGUAACAGUGAAAGUUUUGUUUUUGUGAAAUUAAAUAGGUGGUAUAUGUUGUACUGCCUAAUGUCUAACUGUGAACGUGGCGCUAUGGUGUUUGUAAGAGUAAAACACUGCGUUGUGCGUUGUUAACAACUGGUAUAGCUAACAACAACUAACAACAGAUAACAACCGCAAACAACUGCUAACUGUAGGUGUCCAUCUUGGUUUUCCGACUUGUUUACUGGAAUGCUGUCAACUUGGAUGUAACAUCAUUCUCAGCCCCGACCCGACUUCCAAGGUAACUGGAAAACAGCAAUAGAUAACACCAACAGUAGAUGCAGCUGACACCCACCCUACAGCCGAGGUGACAAGCGUAGAAUCCAAUACAGAAAUGGUCUCUGUCCCCUCUUAUGUUCUGGGUUACUUUUGCCAAUAUCAUUUCAUUCCCAGAUACAAACUCCUCACACGAGUUUCGAACACCAGCAUGUGGUCUAAUUUGCAGAAGAAUAAAUGCUGUGUUCAAAAAACUCUGAAGUUCUCUGAAAAAAAGCCCUCUUUUCUCCAUAUGAGAUCAAGUUGGAAAACUGCAGUAUCGUAUUCCACUGAGAGUACUUACAGAUGUACAGUAUUCAGUCUUCCCUUUAUUAUCAUGUACGUAUAUUGCCUGUGAUUUAGGUGAAGAAGUCUAAAUUACAACCUGGGAUUUAAAAAACCUUCAGAAACAACUGCUGUUCCCUCUUCUUAUUUCUGUUUGUUACACAUUACUGCAACACUGCAAUUAUCCUACUCAUUCUGAUCCCAGGUUGGUCACUUCGAGUGCAUUAUCAGUACAUUCUGUUUCACUCUUUGAACCUUUGCAUAUUUCCUCACUCAUAAUUAGCCGUACCAGCAGAAGCUUUUUUUCUCUCUGCAGAGGACUAUAAUGGCAAUAGUUUCAGCUGAACACUCUCUGCUCUCACUGCCUGCACCUGCAGACCUUUUCUUUGUGAUAAUGGUGUGAAAAGCAAACAGAGAUACGUGAGGAGAAUCAGACAUCGCUGAAAGUUAACAGAAUGCAUUUUGAGGGUCUGAUCGCUGCAUCGCUGCUUGGAAGAAGUGUAUCAAAUCAAUGGAGGAAAAUAGUAAUAUCUUCUCAACCAUGCUUUAAGGGGUUUAACUUUCUUCCUGACAACUCAACUGUAGUUUUCAAGCACUCUUCUCAUGUCUUUCCUCCUUAUUUCGAGGACUUUUUGCUUUAUUUGUCGGACUUUCCUAUAAUAAUAUCCAAUAAAGGGUCUAGUAAAGUUGUUUCCUGAAGUAUCACUGGAGCUCUUUUGAUCUCUUCAAGACCUUUUCUCUCCAAGCACCUUGGAAGUUGGUGAGGUUGUGCCAAAUCUUCUGACCUCUAUAUUGAUAUCCCAAAAUUUUCUCAUGUGCUCAAAGAAAGACUACCACUAGACGAAAAAAAAAAGAAAAAGACUGAGGGCUUAAUUUUUGUGUCCGCCGGUGACGCAGCGGAGGGUGGCAGACCCCUUGCAGUGGUAUUUUCGUCUGGGGGAACCCGGCGUACAGCCAGUUUGGUAUUUCCGUAGACUGAGGAGCACUGAGGUCCGCCAAGCUGGGAGUGGUGGCGCAGCAGGGGGCGUAGUGACAUUUUUGUGCUUGCCGGCGGCGUGUAAAGUGCGCUAAAAGCUUGCCGAUUCAAACCUGGUGGAGCGCAGCUGGUAUUUUGGUAGACUGGCGGCGUAUCGGCAUAUGACACCAAUGCAUCACUGGCAGGUUUCCACAGUGUCAGGCACAUUUCAGUGCAAUAAAUAAUCAACAACAACAACUAAUAAUCUAAUAGUCAGCACAUACAUUUAGAUCUAUAUAGAUAUAUUCUGAUCUAUAUCUGAUCUGAUGAGUGCGUUUGGCACGCUUUUGGACACACAACCUGACCGGAAUAACACAGCUGAAACCGCAUUGAAUUAAAUUAAAUUAAAUAUCUAGUUAAUAAAAACACAUGAUGAAGUUAACAAGAUAUGUAAUUCGUCUCCCCCCUAUUUCUAUCUUCCUCUUCCUCUUAUUUCUCGUGCAGCUCGACCUGGACAUGUCUCAUGUCUGCGACUUACGCCGCUGGAGAGAGCUGAGUUAGGGAAGGGGGAUACGCCGGGCACGAAAAUAGAGCCCUAAGAGUCAAACUGAAAAACGGAUGGUGUCCUUUUCAGGUACAGUACUUUAUUCACUGAAUCUGAAGUGCAAGUCCACGCUGGGUUAGCAUGUGACUGACAGAGCAUCAGAUAUACAGCUGGCAGGGCUAAGCAAAACCACUCUAAUCUUAUGCACCCUUUCUCCCUGCCUCUCCGAUGACAUGUCCACGCUGUCUCACAGCCGUCCAAGCGAGUUUCAUAUCCCAUCGAGCUGGCACCAUGAGACCAGACGCAGCAGCAGAGGAAGCCGGGGUGGAGCAAGGGGCCAGAGAGAGAGAGAGACAGAGGAGGCAGGGUGAGAUAUGAUGGAGGGAAUGUUAGAGACAGCAAAAAGCUUGGGGGGAGAGAGAUGGAGGAUGGCAAAAAAAAAUCCAAUAGAGGUUUUGAAAGCACUCCAGAAAAGGCAUUAAGGAGUUACUUAGCUAAAUCCAUUACGCUUCACAGGAUGUGGCUGCCUUGCUAGCAUGAAAUCAAAUCAUGCAUCCAGGUAAUUGUUCUCACAUUAGAAAAACUGCAUCCCACUUUCAUUCCCCUGAAUGCUCGUUCAGCUUGCCCCAGCUUUGUGAGAUGAGUGAAGGGGCCGGGGAUGAAGUGUGAGUCAGAUAAUGAUGGCUUUAAUGUUGAUGAAACAAUAAUCAUAAUGACAUUGGUGUCAGUAAGAUUGUGGUGAUUAGAUUCAAUGAGGUAUAAUGAAGAAGAAAUAACAACAGUGGUGACACAGAUGACAACAGUGGUGGUGGUAAUUAUUAUGAUUACCUCUCUUUAUAAGAGCAGGGUUUACCUGUUGUACCUGUAAUUUCUUACUAGUGCAGAGCUACUUAAAGGUACUCCUCCAUCAUUGACUUAAGUAUCUCCUCUGAAGGAUGAGGACCUUUCUCAAAGUCUACAUGAUAGUUGUGCUUGAAGGACCAUUGAAAUUGAAACCAGAGGCAGCUUUAGAAAGAUCAACAUGACAAUAAAAACGUCAACUACUUGUAAGAAAUUCUUUAGAGGUUAAGUUUAAGGAACAGCUCAGGAAAUAUUUUCCAUGACCUUCUAUGCUGGCAGCUAGUGAGGUCAACACAUCAGAUUAGAGUGUAACCAGGUGAGAGCUGAACACCAGCAGAAAAAUGAUCAUGAGUCUGCUGGAAAUAGGAAAACUAAUGAUAUGAUAUGAUAUGAUAUGAUAUGAUAUGAUGCAAAACUGUACAUGAGAUAAAAUGAUAUGAGAUGAUAUAAUAUGAUAUAUGAUAAACUAUGAUAUAAGGCAUAAAAUGAUUUGAUAUGAUACAUGAUAUGAUAUGUAGUAUAUGAUAUCAAAUAGUUGAUAUGACAUGAUAUAAUACAAAAUAUAGUAAAUGAUAUGAUAGUAUAGUAUAAUAUAGUAUAGUAUAGCAUAGUAUAGGAUAGGAUAGGAUACAAAAUUAUAUUUAAUAUAAUAUGAUAUGAUAUGAUAUAAUAUGUGAUAUAAGGCAUAAAAUUCAAUAUAUGAUAUGAUAUGAUGUAGGGCAUAAAAUGAUAUGACAUGAUACAAUAUGAUAUAUUGCAUAAAAUGAUUUAAUAUAUGAUAUGACAUGGUAUUUGGCAUUAAAUGAUUUGAUAUGAUAGGAUAUGAGAUAAAAUGAUAUGAUAUGAUUUGAUAUAUAGUAUAGUAUAGUAUAGUAUAGUAUAGUAUAGUAUAGGAGAUGAUAUGAUAUGAUAUGAAAGUAAGCCAUUAUUAUUGUGGUACAAUAAGUUUUUUUUUCAGUUUGAUACACUGUAUUGUCCUCUUAAAAGGUAAAUUUAUCUUUGGUUAAAGUGCUUUGCAGUCACAACUGCCUUGAAAUUAUCGCUCAUAAAUAAUGCAAAUGUAAAAAUAAUAGCUAAGUUGAAUUAAGAGAACGAUACCUUGCAAGAGAAAAAAAAGAAUUUACUUUGACAGCAGGAAUUAAGUCUGAGCCAAUUUUUAUAUAUUUAUUUAGUCUUUCUUUCUUUCUUUCUUUCUUUCUUUCUUUCUGGUGUAGGUGUCAAGCCAACGCUGGUAGUUGAGUUUUGUAUAUAUGUUGGACUAGCCAAUGAUCCAAGUUGUAAUCAUGUCUCAGAAC
rnacentral:lncRNA from 1 species